CUCAGUAGUAGCAGCUUCCCUGAAGUUCAGGUGCAGAGAACCAGGGACAGGCAAGGAGGGGUCCAGGUUUGGAUGGGGCAGGGGGUGCAGGUGGCCUGAGCCUGGGAGCCCUGCUGGCUGGGAGGCCAAGCUCCGGGAUUGCUCAGUGGCUUCUGCUAUACUCCAGCCUCCCCAAGCUGCAGUCAGCUCUGUGGCAGAUCACUGAGUUGAGACAAAAAGAGGGGUUUUAGGGUCAGGGAUGGCAGCUUGGGCGCCAUGGAUUGGGGCUGGGGCUCUGCCAGUGGGCUACUAUCUCCUCCCCAGUUCCUGGAGCCUCUUAAUGUUUUUUUUUUUUAAUGAGGAGCUGCUGGCUUGUAAAAUCAUAUUCCCCUCUCUCAAGGAAGAAUUUUAUUUCUAAUAUGGUUUGAAGCAAGCAAGGGGUAUAAUUAUUGGAAAAUUUUAAAAUUGGUUACAGCAUGCAUAUUUUGGUAGUAACACACCAUUUGGGGAGAAUGAAUGAAUGUACUGCAGAUAUUCAGUUAGUGUGAAGUAGUACUCGAACCCCAGUUCCUUACUUAAUUACAGGAUUUAAUUCUGAAUUCCAAACACCAUGACUUUGGGAAGAAUCUUCCAUUUCUAUAGCAUGUAAGGUUCAACUCUACAAGUUUUCUCAGUGAUAUUUCUUCAGAUUUACUCUAUGUUUUAGAAUCCUUUUACCUUAUUUAAAAGAAAGAAAGAAUAGUUACCUGGAGAAAAUAUAAAGAUAAUGCAAAAUGACACUCAUUAGCCAGUGGCUUACAGUAUGCUUGUCAUAUGCCUUCCUUCACAUUUAAAUACUGAACAUUCUUUCCUUCUUCCUUUUAUUAUGAACAUAUACAAAGUUUGCAUUUUGAAUGAGCCAUGUCAUAUUACCCUGGUAAUGAAAUAAAUUUACCUUAAUGCAAAAUACUUCUUUAGAAUUCUCUUAUGGUACAGUGAGUUAAGGAUAUGGCACUGUCACUGCAGUGCCUUAGGUCACUGCUGUGGCAGCAGUUUUAUCCCUGGCCCAGGAAUUUGCACAUGUCAUGGGUGCAGCCAAAACAAAAACAAAAAUAAAAACAAAAAGAACUAAAAACCCCAGCAAAACCCCAAAACCUCUUUUUCCCCUUUUAAUGAGAUCAAAUCUAGUUUCAUGUAUAUUAAUGACAAAUGAUGUUUGAUAUAUAUCAUAGAGUAGCCAUUAAAAACCAAGACUCCUUUGAGGUACUAAUUAAAAAUAUUGAAAGAUUCAUUCUCUUCUCUUCCACUUUGGAAGUGUGUGGAACACUUUUGACAAGUUGGUUCUUUGCAGCUUUUUUUUUUCUUUUAGGGCCAUACCUGCAGAAUGUGGAGGUUCUCAGGUUAGAGGCUGAUUCAGAGAUAGAGCCACCAGCCUCCCACAGCCACAUCCAAUGGGAUCAGACCCAUGCCCUCAUGGAUAGUAGUCAGGUUCAUUUCCACUGAGCCCCAACAGGAACUCCCUUUGGCAGCUUUCUAUGAGCAUCUAAGCAGCCCACAGCACAGAGGCCAUCUCUUGGGCUUUCAUCUUCCAGACAGAUGGAAGAGGCCCCCUGGAGUCGUUUCCUGGGUAUUGCAGCAUUAGAGCCAUGCCAACAUUCCCAUUCAUCUAUCUCCUUUUUAUACACAACAUCCCAAGAAUCCAGGUGGAAGAGUUACCUCUUUGCCCCUUUGUUUAGAUGUGGAUUGUGGUUAAUUGUGUAAUUCUCAAGUAGGAAAUGUUAUACAUUGUAUUGAAAACAAUCCAGUGGUAUAAAUCCAAAAUUAAAUCAUUAUUACUGUUUAUGUGCUAUCCUUGUGGAGCACCUAAAGAAAAUAUUCUCCUUCAUCAUCUAAAACAAAAAUUUUCACUGUGUCUUUUGAUCAGAAUCCAUAACCAUGGAAUUCUUAGACUAAUUCUCUUCUAACCCAAAAUAAGGCAACCAUUCUUCUUUAAUAGAACUGUUCCUGUGUUUCAUGGGUGGUUUGGAAUAACAAUUUUCUUCAGUAGUGGCAGUAGUCAGACAGCAUAUUAAUAUUUAAUAUUUCUUUUACUUUGCCAAAUCCUGAGGACAAGCUGAGAAGAAAAAUUGCCCAGCAGGCAUUAGGGAGGUGAGAGUAAUCGUAUCAUCUCUUUCUGGGGGGCCCAGACAUAAAUUUAGUCUUCCAAGGAAACAAACUUCCAUGGGUAGAUUUAUGAUAGAAGUUUGUGAAUAGCUUAAAAGCAUCAGGAAAUUAUUUCCUUAUAACGUACUCCUUAAUGCAGUGUACAAUCUGAGCAUUUCUGAAGUAGUCAGGACCUUUUAUAAGUGACCCAGUGAAAGUGAUGUAGCAAAACCCAGCAUCUCAGGGUGUUACCACUGUAAAUUAGUCUCCCCCCCCGCCCCUGGGAGAUUGACCAGCAUUUCAUCAUUAACACUGAGAAAAUUUGCAGAGUGAUGACAAAUAAUUUUAUUUAUUUAUUUUUAUUUUUUUAUUAUAGUUGAUUUACAGUAUUGUGUCAACUUCUGUCGUACAGCACAAUGACCUAGUCAUCUAUCUAUCAUCUAUCAUCUACACAUAUAUAUACAUUCUUUUUCUCCUAUUCCAUCAUAUUCUAUCCCAAGAGGUUGGAUAUAGUUCCCUGUGCUAUACAGUAGGACCUCGUUGUUGAUCCACUUGGAGUGCAGUAGUUUGUAUCUACUAACCCCAAACUCCCCAUCCAUCCCACUACCUUCCCCAUGCUCUUGGCAACCACAAGUAACUUCUCCAUGUCUAGGCAUAAAAUUUCUUUUAGGUUUAAUAUUGGGAAAUUGAAGAUGAAAACAAUAGAUAAUUUAUAGAAUCUUUCUAUUGAAGAAACUGGAAGAUUAUAAAAUUGCCUUUAGGAGUUCCCAUCGUGGUUCAGUGGCUAACGAACCUGACUAGUAUCCACAAGGACCCAGGUUUGAUCCCUGGCCUCACCCAGUGGGUUAAAGAUCCAGCACUGCGUGAGCUGUGAUAUAGGUCACAGACUCACCUGGGAUCCCAUGUAGCUGUGGCUGCAGCCAGCAGCUACAGCUCUGCAGGUGCAGCCCUGAAAAGGAAGGAGGGAAGGAGGGAGAAAGAAAG
rnacentral:lncRNA from 1 species